UACGUAGGGUGCAAGCGUUAAUCGGAAUUACUGGGCGUAAAGCGUGCGCAGGCGGUGAUGUAAGACAGAUGUGAAAUCCCCGGGCUCAACCUGGGAACUGCAUUUGUGACUGCAUGGCUGGAGUGCGGCAGAGGGGGAUGGAAUUCCGCGUGUAGCAGUGAAAUGCGUAGAUAUGCGGAGGAACACCGAUGGCGAAGGCAAUCCCCUGGGCCUGCACUGACGCUCAUGCACGAAAGCGUGGGGAGCGAACAGG
rnacentral:rRNA from 1 species